rnacentral:rRNA from 1 species
GACGAACGCUGGCGGCGUGCUUAACACAUGCAAGUCGAACGGAAAGGCCCCCUUGUGGGGUACUCGAGUGGCGAACGGGUGAGUAACACGUGAGUAACCUACCCUUGACUUUGGGAUAACUUCAGGAAACUGGGGCUAAUACCGGAUAGGAGCUCCUGCUGCAUGGUGGGGGUUGGAAAGUUUCGGCGGUUGGGGAUGGACUCGCGGCUUAUCAGCUUGUUGGUGGGGUAGUGGCUCACCAAGGCUUUGACGGGUAGCCGGCCUGAGAGGGUGACCGGCCACAUUGGGACUGGGAUACGGCCCAGACUCCUACGGGAGGCAGCAGUGGGGAAUAUUGCACAAUGGGCGGAAGCCUGAUGCAGCAACGCCGCGUGCGGGAUGACGGCCUUCGGGUUGUAAACCGCUUUCGCCUGUGACGAAGCGUGAGUGACGGUAAUGGGUAAAGAAGCACCGGCUAACUACGUG